rnacentral:lncRNA from 1 species
UUUUAGAGGUUAAAUACGUACAGUACCUUCCCAGAACAUCCAGUUUCACUAGUAGCUAGCAAAUUUGUCAUACUAUAGCUUUUGUUUAGGCCGCGUUGGCUACAGUGUACUAGUUGGCUAGCUAAUUGCUAGCACGUGUUAGAGAGUGUCCACUGAUCCACGUUGAACACGCAAUCUGUUGCCCGACAACGUAGUCAAUGAUGUAACACGCAACCGUUGGUUGAUGCAUGCAACGUCUGAGCGGUGGAAUGCGACCAUUCACUGAACUUCACACCUCAGGGACUGGUUAAUCCCCCCUAAGGUUCAGAUUAGGACGACAUCGAAGACGGGAUGGAGGAGAGGAUGAAGGGAAAGAAGACAGGAGGGAUACUGGUGGCUCCAGGGGCCCUGGUACAUCAAACAGUGACAGGCUGAGGGGCUGGAGGCCCUGGGAUCCUGGCUGUGAGUCUACAGGGGUCUGGGGUAUGAGUAUAUGGGGGUCUAGAGGGGGCUGGCGGCUGACACCAGAAAGACAAGCCAAGACCUGGUUAUUCUCUUGUCAAUGUUUCAUCCUCUGCAAAUGUACAAUUCCAAAGAGGGGAAGAUUUACAAAAAGUAUGGCAUUGAUGUCCGUAGAUGUUCAUUAUGUUGGGAGAUACUUGGGAGAGACCUGGAAUAUGUUUUAUUCUGUGGUCUCAUUCUGUGACCAUGUUCUAUCAUCCAUCUCCAUCUUUCUCUCCUCCUGUCCAUUCUGUCCCUCACCUCCUCUUCCUCUUCCUGGAGACGACCUCAUGCCCUCCUCUGGCGAAGUGUCUGUCCUCCUCUUUCUUCCUCUCUAGCUGUGGACGGAGGUACAGUGGUUCUGUUGUGUGAGUGAGUGAGUGAGUGAGUGAGUGAGUGAGUGAGUGAGUGAGUGAGUGUGUGUGUGAGAGAGAGAGAGAGAGAGAGAGAGAGAGAGAGAAAGAUAGAGUAGGCACAGGGGUGCUGUUCUACAUGUCUGCCCAAGUUCAGGAGACUGAUGGAAGCUGGCUUCCGUGGCUGAAACUAAUACCAUCAGAUUCCACUGUGGCCUGAGGAUGACCGGAGCUGUGACAUUUUGAUGUCUCCGUGUGUCUGUGUGUGUGUGUGUGUGUGUGUGUGUGUGUGUGUGUGUUUGUGUGAGCAUGUGUCUGCGUGCGUGCUUGUGUAUGUGCGUGUGCCUGCAUUCGUGCAUGUGCGUGUAUGUGUGAUAUUUUGAUGUCACAGCUGCCACAGUUGUACUUCUUAAGUUUCGUAUUGGAGUAGCAGCCAUAAAUACUGGCUGGACACUAGAACAUUGGGACAGCUGGUUUUCCCAUGCAGGGAAAUUCUUCACCUAAUGGUUUUAGGGUCUUUAGUUGUUCCGUCUGAGGAAGACUACCGGUGACAAACGGGGAAGAGAACAGAGAUGCUGGAAAGCUCACGCUGAGCAGGAGAGAAGAAGAGAAGGAUCCGGAAUAUAUCAUGGUGAUGGGUGGCACAUCACUGGCCUAAUUCCACUCAGUGUCAUAAGCGACUUCCAAUGUGGAAAAAGGCAUGGCGUCUGUCUGAGCAUUGUGUCUGUAUGGAAGUGCUCUUUGGGGUUAUGAAAAGCUCUUUAAAAUAAUAUGAUUAUAUUUCCUCUCUCAUAUCUACAAUGUAAAACUAAUUCAAAUGGCUUUCUAGAUUUAUAGCAUAGACUACUGCUCCUUUGCUGUUCUAACUCACCAGCUAAAUUCUGAUGAGCAGCUGAUUAGUAGAAUCAUGUUGUCACGCUCUGACCAUAGAGAGCCUUUUAUUCUCUAUGUUGGUUAGGUCAGGGUGUGACUAGGGUGGGUUAUCUAGGUUGUUUUUUCUAUGUUGGCCUGGUAUGGUUCCCAAUCAGAGGCAGCUGUUUAUCGUUGUCUCUGAUUGGGGAUCAUAUUUAGGCAGCCAUUUCCCCACUGUGUUUUGUGGGAUCUUAUUUUGAGUAAGUGCAUGUAGCAUCUCUGUCGUCAUGGUUUGUUGUUUGUUUCCUUUUGUUUUGUGAGUUACUUAAAUAAAAGAUGUGGAAUUCAGAGCACGCUGCGCCUUGGUCCGUCUCUACACACAGUCGUGACAGAAGAUCCCACCACAACAGGACCAAGCAGCGUGCCCAGGAGGAGAUGGCCUCCUGGACUUACAAGGAGAUCGAGGAGAGAAUAGCCUGGACUUGGGAGGAGGUCUUGGCAAGAUAGGAAAGCUUGCCGUUGAAGCAGACACAGGGAGAGAAGGGAGGACAGCGACGACGCUGAGGUUCGCGGCCACAAAGACAGCCCGAAAGACAGGCCCAAAAUUUAUUUUUGGGGGGGGGGGCACACGGGGUGGUCGGCGGAGCUGAGGAAUGAGCCAGAGACCGUCAGGGAGUCGGAGGAGGAACUCGAUGAAAGAUUCCGGAGAGAGGUGGUGGCGAUGAGAGAGCUGCAGUGUGGGCGUGCUGAGGAGCUGCAGCGUGGGCGUGCACCAGUCCGGUGUCAUCUGCACCGGUUUCACGCAUCUGGCCUCCAGUGCGCCUCCCCAGUCCGGUAUGUCCUGUGUCUCCUCCUCGCACUCGCCCUGAGGUGCGUGUCACCAGUCCGGUGCCACCUGUACCGGCCCCGCGCAUCCGUCCUCCAGUGUGCCUUCCCAGUCCAGAGCUUCCGGCAACGGUUCCCAUUUCAGAGCUUCCGGCGACAGUUCCUAGUCCAGAGCUUCCGGCGACGGUUCCCAGUCCAGAGCUUCCAACGACGGUCCCCAGUCCAGAUCUUCCGGCGACGUUUCACAGUCCGGAACCUCCUGAGACGGUCCACAGUCCGGAACCUCCUGAGACGGUCCACAGUCCGGAACCCACUGAGACGGUCCACAGUCCGGAACCUGAGACGGUCCACAGCCUGGAACCUCCUGCGACGGUCCACAGCCUGGAACCUCCUGCGACGGUCCACAGCCCGGAACCUCCUGGGACGGUCCACAGUCCUUCGCCUCCUGCGACGGUCCACAGGCCGGAGCCCUCCUCUGCGCCGAUGCCCAGUCCAGGCACGGUGUCCAGUCCUGCUCCAAGGCCAGAGCCUUCCUCUGCGGCGGUGCCCAGUCCAGGCACGGCGUUCUACCCGGCUCCAUGGCCGGACCCGUGGUCUGGGCGGGGCCAAAGUCCCGCACCAGAGCCGCCAGCGAUGGUGGCGGAUCCACGAGCGGAGUGGGUACUUCGCCCCGCACCGGAGCCGCCACCGACGCUAGAUGCCCAACCGGACCCUCCCCUAUAGAGUCAGGUUUUGCGGCCGGAGUCCGCACCUUUGGGGGAGGUACUGUCACGCUCUGACCAUAGAGAGCCUUUUAUUCUCUAUGUUGGUUAGGUCAGGGUGUGACUAGGGUGGGUUAUCUAGGUUGUUUUUUCUAUGUUGGCCUGGUAUGGUUCCCAAUCAGAGGCAGCUUUUUAUCAUUGUCUCUGAUUGGGGAUCAUAUUUAGGCAGCCAUUUCCCCACUGUGUUUUGUGGAUCUUAUUUUGAGUAAGUGCAUGUAGCAUCUCUGUCGUCACGGUUUGUUGUUUGUUUCCUUUUGUUUUGUGAGUUACUUAAAUAAAAUAUGUGGAAUUCA